CUGACUGCUCCAGGCUGGACGCUGGCGCCAUGGAGAAGUAUGCUCCCGAACCUUCUCGGUGGCGAAUUGUGGAUGAUUGCAGUGGAGCUUUCACCAUGGGUGUCAUUGGUGGUGGAGUCUUCCAGGCUAUCAAGGGCUUCUGCAAUGCCCCUGCUGGAAUUCCACACCAGUUCAGAGGUAGUGUCAAUGCUGUGAGGAUCUGAGCACCCCAGAUUGGAGGUAGCUUUGCAGUGUGGGGAGGUCUGUUUUCCACCAUCGACUGUGGCCUGGUCCAGCUAUGGGGCAAAGAACUCCAUCACCACUGGAGCAUUGACUGGAGCUGUGUUGGCUGCGCGCAGUGGUCCGCUGGCCAUGGUGGGCUCUGCGAUGAUGGGGCGCAUCCUGUUGGCCCUCAUUGAGGGUGUUGGCAUCCUCACCCGCUAUACUGCCCAGCAGUUCCGCAAUGCACCCCCAUUCUUGGAGGACCCCAGCCAGCUAACCCCUAAAGAGGGAUCUCUGGCCCCAGGUUAUCCCAACUACCAGCAGUACCACUGA